GACGAACGCUGGCGGCGUGCCUAAUACAUGCAAGUCGAGCGGAACUUAGAAAGCUUGCUUUCAAGUUUAGCGGCGGACGGGUGAGUAACACGUGGGCAACCUACCUUGUAGAUUGGGAUAACUCCGGGAAACCGGGGCUAAUACCGAAUAAUCCAUUUCGCUUCAUGGCGAGAUGUUGAAAGACGGUUUCGGCUGUCACUACAAGAUGGGCCCGCGGCGCAUUAGCUAGUUGGUAGGGUAAUGGCCUACCAAGGCGACGAUGCGUAGCCGACCUGAGAGGGUGAUCGGCCACACUGGGACUGAGACACGGCCCAGACUCCUACGGGAGGCAGCAGUAGGGAAUCUUCCACAAUGGACGAAAGUCUGAUGGAGCAACGCCGCGUGAGUGAAGAAGGUUUUCGGAUCGUAAAACUCUGUUGUAAGGGAAGAACACGUACGAGAGUAACUGCUCGUACCUUGACGGGUACCUUAUUAGAAAGCCACGGCUAACUACGUG
rnacentral:rRNA from 1 species